rnacentral:misc_RNA from 1 species
GAUGAAGAACGCAGCGAAAUGCGAUAAGUAAUGUGAAUUGCAGAAUUCAGUGAAUCAUCGAAUCUUUGAACGCACAUUGCGCCCGCCAGCAUUCUGGCGGGCAUGCCUGUUCGAGCGUCAUUUCAACCCUCGAGCCCCCCCGGGGGCCUCGGUGUUGGGGGACGGCACACCAGCCGCCCCCGAAAUGCAGUGGCGACCCCGCCGCAGCCUCCCCUGCGUAGUAGCACACACCUCGCACCGGAGCGCGGAGGCGGUCACGCCGUAAAACGCCCAACUUUCUUAGAGUUGACCUCGGAUCAGGUAGGAAUACCCGCUGAACAUAAGCAUAUCAAUAAGCGGAGGA